UAUUUACUUUCUAACUACACUCCUCUCUCACAUUCUGUUUACCUUUUCCAUUCUUUCCCAACUUGUCUCUACUUUUCUUCUUUCGUGAAACUUUAUUCUGUUGAUUUCUAACGAAACCUCGAAUCUCUACUUCUCUUGGAACACAUGCCUAUGUGCUUUUUCCAAGUUAACCUAAUUUUUCCCAUCAACACAGUCUGAUUGCUUCUACAAGGAGUCUCAUUUCUCUAAACAUCAAUGCUCUCUACCAAUACCCCUCCUCCUACUAUCUCAUUAUGUCGUCUUCUCACCGCUUUGUUGCAUCGCCUUCUAAUUUCUUUACCGGCAUCCACCGUCUUCUCUUUCUCCUUCUAUUUCAUGUCGCCAAUGCCACUGUCACCACAACCGUCGCCACUAUCAUGUCUAUUUAUUGUCAUCAACGUAACAAAAAGUUUCAAUGAUUCAGAUCCAGAUCUGUAAAAGGUAAAAGAUACAAAGUUGUAUGGCUUUUUUCGUUUUCAGUAGUUUCAUUUUUUUAUUUAUUCAACAUCUCUUACAUUGAUUUUAUGGUUUUCAUUUGGUUUUAUGAUGAUUUUGUGGUUAGGUUUUUUGUGAUUGUGGUUGAUAUGAUGAUUUUGUGGCUAGGGUUUUUGUGAUUGUGGUUGAUAUAAUGAUUUUGUGGUUAAGGUUUUGGUUUUCCAUUAUUGAUUUCUCGCUUGGAUCUUGCAAAAUGGGGGUUCCUCUCUUAACAAUACCCUCUCUCUGCCAGUUUUGAUUCCAUUAAUGAGGUAUCAACCGAAGCAUCCUCCUAAUUGUAUCUUGCUUUGGCUUAUCACUUUGUCGAUCAGUUUCACCAUUGGAGUUACCUGUGCUAAUAUUAAUGAUAUAUGGAGUAAAGCCAACUGUAAGUACUGUUUUCAGUGGUGGCAAACCAGGUAAAUAUUAUUUUUCAUUUCUUUGUCAUUUUUGGCAUCUGUGAAGUGAUUUAUACGAAAUUCCUAUGUAAAAGACGAUAAAAAUUAUGCAGAACAAUGUUAUUUAUUACUCUCUUCUUAUGUCUUGAAACUGCUGGAAUCGAUGAAAUGCAGUUCAUUUGUUGAUAUUGGUACGUAGAUAAAACCAUUGAAACUGUUUCCAUGUCCACUUGACCAAUGCUACGAAUAUAUUUUGGCAAAAUUGUCAACUAGGAAAGCCUGAACGCCUGACUAUUGAUAGUUGGUAUUUCUUUAUUAUAUGAAUAUGAGCAUUAGACUAAUAGUUCAUUAGUUGCUUUGCAUUUUCAAAUACGUUUCAAUUUUGCAUUCACCACAAUUAUAUAUUCCUGAUUUGGCACAAAAACAACAAUGUUUAUGAAACAACUUAGCUAAAGGUAAGCUUUAAUGUUUUCUAUGCCAUUUCACUCUGCAAUUACUAUCUCAACAUCUUUUCUAUUGGAAGAAUCCAAAAGAAUAAAAGGCUAUUAUCAUUAUAAUCCCUAUGGCUCCUAUUUUUACUAUUGUUUCAUUUUUGGCUUUGAUGUAUAGUUACUUGAAUAUAUUUGUUAGUAGGAAUAUUGUGCCUGAUGAAAUUAAAGGAAGGUAAAUUCAUCACUCCUUUACGAUUCUGGUUUAGUUUUGGUUGAUUUUGGAGACUGGCUUGUUUUUAUGAAAUUCUUGUAUUAGUUAGUUGCGUUGUGUUGUGUUUGUUUAUUUUGUACCUAUAUUGGUUUGUUUAUUUUGUAUUUGUGCUGGUGUAUCUUCCGACAACAUAUCUUAUGUUGUUUCUUUAAUAUAAUUUUGUUUUGGCUUUUGAAAAAAGUUGAUUUAUUUAUUAAUAUAAUAAUAUUUCAUAAACAAUGGCUAUACUCAGAUUUAAUUUUCUUGUCAUAUUGCUGAUUUUGUUUGUCAAGCAGUAUGAAGUUCAUUUUGUUUGCCAAAUUAAUUUACGGUAUUGAGGUGGUUGAAGACUUGAGAAAUUUUAGGAGUUGAGAAGUUGAGGUUGAAUCUUAGAGCAGUUCAAGUUCAGAAUUGGAACAACGAUUUCAGAAAGCCAAAACAACUGUUGGGCUUGAUAGAGAGGCAAUGCUGAUAGGGUAUCACAUAGUAUGGAAAGAAAGUUGUUCCAAGACAAAUGUGUUUGUAUCUAUAUAUAGUGCUAACGUGCUAAUUUCAAAUAAUUUUAUCAUGUUCCAUUUUUUUCCUUCUUAGGUGCCACAAUGCAUUGAUAAACUUGCUCAAGCUGGCUUAAAGAUCUAGGUAUUGACAGGGGAUUAAAUGGAAACUGCACUCAAUAUUAGUGCAGAUAUUCAUGUAGUUUGCUUCGACAGUGUGAAGCAAAUUUGUAUAAUAUGUAUAGGAUUCAGUUAUCAAUGGUGGGAAAUAUGCAUUCAUUCACUAAUAUUUAAAAGAAAUUUUUAAUAUUUAGUCAUAGAUUUCAUCUAAUGUUAGGCAUACAUCUCAGGUAAUCAAAGGCAACAUCCUGACUCAAAUCACCAAUGCCUCACAAUUGAUGAAGCUGGAGAAUAGCAACCCCACCAACAAGUUUUCUAUUAUAGAAUAAGUUCAGUUUGAGUUUAUAUCUCAAGCUCUGUCUUAUAUUUUUUUCUAUUACAUAAUUUCAGGUGACAAUGAUCUUGACGUUAACGGGGCAACAAUACUCGGAGAAAGUUUCAAAAAAUUCAAUAGUCAUUUGGAAGUCUCUUGAAAUUUACACCGACAAAUAUGUUCCCAAAAUGGGGGUAUCCUCCAUUUAUCCAAUGAAAAUGAGGAUCUUUUUAUAAAGAGAGAAUUGCUAUGGCAAUUAGGAAAGAAGUAUAGUCAUGUAAAGUUUGAUUUUGAAUAUGAGUAGUAGGUUCUACCACACUAAAUUAUUAUUGUCAAAGUGUUGAUUUGAUCUCAUUCACCAAGAAGAAGGUGGAGGUACUUCCAUUGUCACAUGACUUUCUUGUGUCCUUUUUCUCAAGUAGUAGAAGCAUUGUUCAGUUGUAAAGUUACAAUUUUUUGUUUUUUUUUUUGUUUAUGAUAAGCAAGUUUCUGAUUAUUGUAAAGAAAUCCUUUUUUUCCUAUAGCUAUCAUUAGCUUCACAUUAAUCCUACUUGCAUACACAGACAGUUGACGCCAAUUAUGUCAAAAGCAAAAAACCCUCUAUAUCAACAUGUGUAAUAUCAUAGGUGUCAUUAUAUUUCAUAAAUGUCUUAGAGUGUAGGAUACCAAUUCAACAUGUUAUGGUUUUGAGGAACUAAGGAUACUGUGCAUAUGAUUUUGAGGAACUAAGGAUACUUUUUGAAACUAAACAUAACAACUGUUUCUGUUUUAGAAAAAUAAAUGAUUUUUCUUUUAUGUUUUUUCAAUACAUUAUAGGUUAGUAUAUAACUAAUAUAUAGUCUGUUCAGUUUGCACCGAUACUUUGCACUGAUACAUAAUU